rnacentral:tRNA from 1 species
GGUAAAAUGGCUGAUAAAAGUGAUAAACUGUAAAUUUAUUUAUGAGAAAAUAUUCUCUUUUACCA